GGUUCAUUUGUCGAAGACAGGAAAAGGAGAACGGAAGUUCCAUUGAUUAGGGGGGUGGGGAGGUUCGAUCGUCGUCUGCUCGAUCCAUCGUGAGGAGGAUCAUCGUCUCCGGGGUUCGACGAGGCCGAAGGGGAGAAGGAACGAAGGAAUGCGCGAGGGAAUAUGCGAGGUUGAAGAUAGCGAAUCAAUCCCAGGCGAACGGGGUCUCUCCGGUGGUCGACCGGACCGAAGAAUGAAGGGAAGAGCACCGAGGUUGCUCAUGGUCUCAGUGGGUGCGGCUUCUAACGAAUGGAGAAGAGCACCGAGGUUUCUUGGCCUCGGUUGAUCGCACAUGACCGGAUACGGAACAAAUACAUCUUACAGUGGCAGGUAAUGGUUGCGGUGACUGAGCAGUAGUAGCUCGGUGAUGGUGGUGGUUUGCUAGCGGUGGCAGCCUCCUGCUGUCACCGUUCCUCCUCCUGUUGCAAGAAUGAAAGAGGGGAAACAGUUGGAUCGAAUGGGAUAGAUUAAGCAGCAGCAUCAAUGGUCUUCAGGGGUGUUUGGCUGGUUAACUCAACGGGAUGGAGGGAAGGGUCUCGAUGGGGCAGUUGCUUCGAUCGGGAAGGAAAAGGAAACAAAAACGUGUUGUUGUUCUUGUUUGCUGGUAUACCCGAGAACAAGAACAAGAGUGUUCUUGUGUUCUUGGUUGAAAUCGAUGCAGAAAGAAAGAAUUAUCGAAGUAUAAAACCAUACUUGUAUAAAUUACUUGUGGAUGUGUCCCUGCAACAGUGGGAGGACAAACAGUAGAAGUAGAAGAUGUGUGGGAUUCAAUUAAGAAUUUCCUUGUGUAAAAACUUUCGUAAACUGAAAUGUGCAAGUAACUUCCAAUUUGGAUGUACUUUGGUUUAACUUGUAAGCAUUGUAUUGAUUUAAGGUGAAUAUAUAUUUGGUAUUUUGUA